GAGAAUAUACAUAUAAAGCAUAGAGGAUCCACUCCCCUGAGUGAUGUGGGAUGUUACAACAGUUAUCUCACUAAUAACUUGUAGUUUCUUUUUCAUUGGUUUAUGUUCACUCUUGCAGAAAAAAAAAAUUUAUUUUCUCUUCAACUCCAAAAUGCUCUUCCGCCUUCAUCAGUCAAUUUUCCCAACCAAAUUAACAAAAUUGCCAUGGAAAAUCAUGUAUCCAGAAAAACAAUUGCAUGUAUCAUAAAAUCUCUCACCUUCUUUUCUCUUUUUGGGUAUGAUCUGAAAUUUGGAUUUAUGUGUGAAUUUCUUUUUUAAUUUUGAAGGGGAACUGCAGGAUAUGAUAGAGAUGUAAGCAAAUUUCCAAUCUUCAUCUAUCUACGUUUUGCAUAGGAAUAUGGUCAGUCAGGCAAUGAAUAUGAGGAAUACGAGGACGAUGAGGAUGACGAAGAGUAUGAAGAGGAAGAGUAUGAUUCCAAAGAGUUUCACCCCCACUACAUUUGCAUGUUGCAAAUUUUUAGUUUGAUUGAAAUCCUCCAUCUCAUCACUCUCUUUUUCAGUAUCUAACUAGGCAAUUUUCAAACUUUUUGUAAUAAUUUUUCAGUUCUAACAGGUAAUUCUCCGCUUAAUUGUUUAAUCUUUUCAUUGCUACAAGCCUACAAGUAUAUUGUUAAAAAAGUAUUGAAGUGUCGUACUUUUUUUAUGACUCUGGCUGUAAUGAAGAUUUUCCACAAUGGUCAGGAUGGUAAAGGUUUAUAGAUAUCUAAUUUUAUUCA